GACGAACGCUGGCGGCGUGCUUAACACAUGCAAGUCGAACGGUAAGGCCCUUUCGGGGGUACACGAGUGGCGAACGGGUGAGUAACACGUGGGUGAUCUGCCCUGCACUUUGGGAUAAGCCUGGGAAACUGGGUCUAAUACCGGACAGGACUACGCGAUGCAUGCCGGGUGGUGGAAAGCUUUUGCGGUGUGGGAUGGGCCCGCGGCCUAUCAGCUUGUUGGUGGGGUGAUGGCCUACCAAGGCGACGACGGGUAGCCGGCCUGAGAGGGUGUCCGGCCACACUGGGACUGAGAUACGGCCCAGACUCCUACGGGAGGCAGCAGUGGGGAAUAUUGCACAAUGGGCGCAAGCCUGAUGCAGCGACGCCGCGUGGGGGAUGACGGCCUUCGGGUUGUAAACCCCUUUCAGCACAGACGAAGCGUAAGUGACGGUAUGUGCAGAAGAAGCACCGGCCAACUACGUG
rnacentral:rRNA from 1 species